CCGAGGAAAUGGCGGCGCCGGGGUGCCCUGCGUCCGCCGGGUGUGCUCCGUCCCUCGGGUGGCCUCUGCCCGCCAUGUGUUCUGUGCCCCCUGCGUGUUCUCUGCCUGCUACAAUCCCGACGGGCUUGUCCCGGCCGCCGUCCAGCGCCGCAGGCUGGGGGAUCGCCCCCGGGAUCGGGAUGGGCCCAGUGGGGCUGGCGGCUGUGAGGGGGCGCGGGGGCUGCGAACGCUGUGGGUUUCCCUGCCCGCCUUGGCUCCUGAACUGCCGCACUCCUGUGCUUGUUCUUCCCGGAGCUCUCGAGGUGUUGCUCACACGCCGCCUCUGCAGGGUAGGAAGUGCCUUUGGUAGCCUCCUGCCUUUUGCUGUAAUGCCAGAUCCAAGCCAGAUGCAGGUCUUCAGGUUCUGCUAUUACUAAUGCAGCUGCAGCAGUUAACACCACCAGGCUGUAUCAUGUCUGCUACCUAUAGCAAAGCUCUGCAUGUUAUAUAUUCAUUUGCCUACAGCACUUGAACUUCUGUAGCCACCUUGUCACGUUAAGAAAAACAGCAAGUCAGUGCUUUUUAGAGACAAGAAAGAAUCCAGGGUUAAAAUAAAUCUUACUUAUUCAGAUAUACCAUUUACUCUUCCAGUGUAUGCAUGCCUGUCCAGUGUAUGAAUCCCUGUUCUGCCAUUUCAAGAUGAUAAAAACAGGAGCUUUUAGCUCACUACUUCCUCUCCAGGUACAGGCAGGUAGCAAGCUGCAGGCAACAUGAGAGGUUCUGGCAGCUCAUGGCUUGCUUUUGCCAUGGUCUGUGAGUUAUGAAAGAAUAUUUUGGUGAGGUCCUGGCACAGAUGUGCAGUCAUGUUACAGGAUGCACAUGCCUUUCUUGCUCUACACCAGUCCCAGUGCCCUGUGCUUCCAUACACAUUAAACGUGGGAUACACCACUAUUUCUAGUCAUAGGACUGACACACAUUUAAUGAUACCUGACAAAUAAAGUAGAGGCAUAGAGUUACUGAGUGUCUCCUUUAUACUGAAUAGCUUAUCCCUAUGGAGAGGUUAGGCACCAGUGGUGUCUAUGUAUUCAUGAACAUCAGUAUGAAGUUAACAAGACUUAGCGUACGCCUUUCCCAAAAGAGUAUGCCUUUGGGGGGGGAAAUUCUGGGAAUUCUAUCUGAAAAUUGAGAGAACAAGUCUUUCUAUCCCUAGGUUUGUGUUGGGUUUCAAUUUUUUUUCGUAUAUCGCUUGUCAAACGUUUCAGAUUAGAACGCGUAAGUAGAAUUGUACCAACAUUCAAAAUUACAAAUUUACUCUUCUUGUGAGCCAGUGUAGUGCAAGAGGCACAUUCAUUAAUCAGUAAUGGAUUAUUACACUCAAAAGAGAACUCAAACCAUUGAACCUCUUUUUUUUACUUCCAGGAACCUGUUUUUGAGCAGUUUGUAUUAAAUUGGUUUUCCUUUGUAGAUGAGGCCGAGUAAGAUCUGUUUUCAAGCUGUGGUUACUGUUACAGCUUGUUCUUUCUAAACAUACAAAACCAACUGUUCAUUAGCACACAGCUUGUUAAUAAUCUCUUACAAAGUAUGGCAAUAAAAUAUGACCCACGGUGGUGGAAUGAAAUCCAAAAGGUAUUUUUCCUUCCUGUAAAUUUAGUGCAAGUGGGAUUUAGAAGGUCGAAUGUACAGAUCACCUGAUAGGAAGAGUUGAACAAUUUCUCUGUCUCCUUUGAGAAUUGGUUUAACAGCAUCACAUGUGAUACAGUGUUUAUAAUGUUAUUGUGGGUGUUCUUGAGAAAGAGUGCUAACCAAAGAGUGCCACAUGUACCAGAUCUUCCCUUCUUCCCUUUACAUAUUGAGUCAAGGAGUAAUUUUCAGAGCACAGAAACAUGUUAGCCUUCAUUUCUCAUGUCUGUUAAUAUGAAUGUUUGACUAAAAGCUUGCAGGUUAUUUCAUUAAUUUAACUACAGAAGCCAGGAUAUUAAUAGUAAGAAAGUUAGUAUUACUUUGCCAGAUUUCUCGCAAACAAAAUCAGUGCUAGAAGAGCACAAGGGCGUGUGUUGGUAUGCAGAUAAACCAGUGUUGAUUCUGUAUAGUUACUGCUCAAGAUCUACAUAAUCUUGCAUACUGAAGCUCUGAAAGGAUGUCUGUAAACUAAGAAUUGUGACUGGACAAGAGCACUUGUUUCAUCAUAACACAUAUUCAUAGUCUCCAACUGUCCAACAUAUCAUAUUUGCAUUAAAAGACCUUAUCUAGCCAGCCAACCAACCAACAAACCCACACAACCUCCGCAAGAACAACAAAAACCAAUAAAUGGUUGUGCUGACUCCAGAAGUUUUCCAUGCCUUUGUUUGGCUCCUGUGUCACCUGGGAUGUUAGAGGGUCUAAGAGCUCAGCAGUCCUUUGGUGAUCUGCUGACUCAGACAAAGGGGGAAGGAGAGCAGCAGUCAUCCUCCCUGCAAGUUCAUGGGACAGCACUAGUCACAUAAAUAUUGGCAAUUAGCCUCUAAAAGCAAAUGUGCCUGUGAUGGGGCAUGAAACAAUGAGCUGUUUUGAAGUGAGAAAACCUUAUGCACAGAUGGGUAUUGUAAGAUGGAGGUGACUCUGCCUGGAGAAGAUGGAAGUAGGAUUUAUGAGUGUGCUGUGAGUUUGUAAGUUAUUGUGGUAAUACUUCUAUGAAGGAUUUUGAUUUUAUUUGAUUUUUUUUUUCUUGUGGCUGAUAAUGAAGACAAAGCUGCUUGGAAUGCUGUAUUCAUUAACUAAGGAGAACAAGAGCCCCAAUUGCUAGAGUGACAAAAGAAAAUUAGUGAUACCAUAGAUGUUGAAAGUCUUUUGUUGCAAAGAAAGAAAUAAAUCUCUUUGGAUUUCUUCUGCCUUGUACCUUCAUGUGAUCAGCAAUAGCAAUAAAGUCAGAAACAAAAUUGCAGAGGUUUCAACUGGGACAACAAGAAUAUGAAUCCCUAUUGUUUUAUUGACUCGAUUAGCAAUAAUUCCACAUAUGUUUUCACAGCAAAUAAAUAUCACUAGUACUCAUGGUAAAAUGGCCAAAUGUUUCCAUUUUUAUCGGUAAAUGAGGGAAUUGAGAUUCUUACAGACAUGAUUGAAUUGCUGAAGUGUCAGAUUCAAGAAGUAAUGUCUCUUGAUCAGAUGGUUUUAACUCAUCUUUUUGAGUGCAAAGUGUACCUUUCAGGUUAAAGAAUUCCAGACCUCUAAAAGAUUUAUCUCAGCAAACCACAAAGUAAAGCCAUGCAACAGUACAUGUAACUCAGAUGCUGAUGAAGGAGACAAAGUGCAGUGACACAUUGACAUUUGUGAAAAAUCACUGUAAACUUGGUAGAAAAUCCCUGCAGGCCUCCGUUGUGCAGUCUGCAAUCUCACUUUUGAGAUUUUCCCAAUUUACUGACAAAAAGCUGCAUUAAAUUCAUCUACUUGGGAACAAAGUUUGAGUUUUACCCUAUUUAGGAGGAACUUAGAUUUCAAAGACGCUAUGGUGGAUGUUUCUUACUUCAGGAUUAUACCAGAAAUCAGUAUAAAUAGCACAAGAACAUAAGGAAGAGCUCUUCAACAGAUUUCCACUUCAGGCUGAAUCUUUAUGAUGUCAGUAAAAGCAGUAGUAUAUUAUGACUAGACAUUCUAUUUCACUUCAUUGUUACGACUAAGCUUCCUAUUUUUAUUGUGCCCUAAUAAUUAUGUUCCUUCUAUUCCAUUUUAGUAUUCCUAUUCAUUUAGUCUAAUAAAUCCCUGCUUCUCUGCAGUACCACUGAUCUGGGAAAUAUUCCUUUUCAUUUCACAAAGACAAGAAAGGACAGAGACAAAGGGAAAUGGAAAGUACUAUGGUCAAAAGAGCAAAGGCUUAGGCUGUCCAAUUAGGUCAUGUGCAAAGUAACCAGAAUUCUAAACUGUCUUCUGAAUGUUAUUGAGACCUAGAUUAGUUUGGGGUGAGUAUAUUUGAGUUCUUACAUUUGGCAUAGUUUCCAAACACGCUUGAAAUGCAGAGCUGUAAUGCAUAUAAAAAAUUUCUGUCCAAAUUAAAAUCUUCAUACGAAUUUCUGUAUGAUACUUGUUGGAUAUACUGUGGUCACUGCCUGAUAUGGAAUAUUUCCAAGAAAAGUGAUAUUGCCAGUCACUGUGUGGGUUUCAGCUGGGGUGGAGUUAAUUUUCUUCAUGGUGGCUGGUAUGGGGCUGUAUUUUAUACUUGUGUUGAACACAGGAUUGAUAAUAUAGAGAAGUUUUGGUACUGCUGAGCAGGGCUUACGCAGAGGCCUUUUGUCCUGCCAUGCUGGUGAGGCUGGGGGUGCAUGAGAGGCUGAGGGGAGACACUGCCAGGACCGGUGACCCCAACUGACCAAAGGGGUAUUCCAGACCAUGGGAUAUGCUCUGUAAUAAAGUGGGGGGAAGAAGGAGGAAGGGGAGACAUUUGGGGUGAUGGUGUUUGUCUUCCCAAGUAACUGUUAGAUGUGAUGGGGCCCUGCUCUCCUGGGGAUGGCUGAACUCCUGCCUGCCCAUGGGCAGCAAUGAAUUAGUUCCUUGUUUUGCUUUGCUUGAGGGCACAGCUUUUGCUUUCCCGGUUAAAUUGUCUUUAUCUCAACCCAUGAGUUUUCUGGCUUUCACCUUUCUGAUUUUCUCUCUGGUCCCAGUGUUUGUGAGGCAUAGUGAGCAGGUGGCUGUGUGGGGCUUGGCUGCUGGCUGAAAAUUGCUGACAAUUAGCAGAAUGAUCAGAGUGGCAGGAACAAACAGCAAAGUGUAGUAAUUUUGUAUAUUAAAUACAGUAAUUGUACUAUUUAUUCACUUUAAAACAAACCAAAGCUGAGUGGUGACAUGGAGUUAACAAUCUCAUUGUUUUUCAUUACAGCUCCUGAGGCCAGGGAAGGAGAAACAGCAGUCUGAGGUGAAUUGACUUCAGAAACUUAAGGACAAACCUGUUGUCAUAUUCCUAAUUCAGCAGGGCCUAACCAUGACCAGCAAGGUGAGGAGCAGUUCACACACCCCCUGGCAGAGUCUCCAUCAGCGUGUGCUGCCUGAGCUUCCUGCUGAGGGUGAACCUCAGCAAGAGCUCCCCUUCAGAAUUUGGAAAUUCAACAGUGCAGAUGAAAGUAUCCACGUUUAUGUCUGUCUUUAGUUUUUGCAUUUCAGUAGUUCAGAUUUCACUGCAAAUUCUUUGAGAUCGUCAGCACAUGGAAGAUUAGAAUCAGUAUUUUAGUAUCAUAAUGAAGAGUAAUUAAGGCCUUUCCUAGAUACCAGAAGGCAAUCUACCAGAAGGAAAGCUCUUUUCUUUCUUUCCAAGUCUCAUCUGGUGCUAUCAAGAUUAAAUGAAGCGCAACUCAUGGUUAAUGAAGUUUUUACUCUUCUACUAAAAUAAAAUUUAGUCUCUUAAAAUACUUCCCUUUUGCCUUUCAUACACAAUUUCUGUCCAUACUUUGUCUAUUUUAGUGGAGUCAUAUGCCAUAUUUAGCCCAGACAAAUUUUUUUAGAGUUUACUAAUUUCGAAACAUUGUCAAGUAGACACACUAGUAUGUUUUCUCUAUAUACUGUCAGCCUGAUUCAUGUGCCUGUAAGUUCAUCUAACACUCUUUCCACUGUUGCACAGAAAACAAAUGACCUUUCAGGGAAAUACCUAUCAAUGUUUCAAUCACUGCUGCUGCUUUUCAGUUAGUAUUAUUAAAAAUCUCAAACUUUAUUCUCUUAGAAGUGCAGAACAGCUGCAUUUUAGUCAUUUUAGAUGCUGGAGUUCAGUUGAAGAGGGUGAUGUGUAGCAGUAGGCACUACAGUGAUUAAUGAGAUUUCGGUAGCUUUUCCAUAGCUUCCUGCCUAGAGCAAAAAAACAAAACAAAACAGAAAAUCAACAAACAAACAAAAAAACCAACCCCAAACCCAUAACAGCAGAUUAGUUGUGUGCCUUUCACUGCUUCUUGUAAAAUGUUAAUGGACUCCUAAAGGUUGCAUUUUUGAAUGAGAACCAUUUCAGCAAGAAUUUUAGCAGAUGCAGAGGACAUACAAGGAACUUUUGAAAAUUCCUUAUGUUCUACUUUAUAAAGUCUAUUAGGCACAUUUGGCACAAGCUGGGAAUCUGACACUGAUUUCCAAGCAUUUAAACGGUCCAAAUAAAAUGCCAUUUCUGUAAUACUUUUAUAUUUUCCUUUUUUUUCAAGUGUAUAUAAAGUACACAUCUGAAUAAACAAUAUUGUACUCCUUUAUUUUAGAUGUAGGUAGCAGUCACAAGAGAUUAAAUGCUGCUAUGUGUAACGAAGCAUGAAGAUGACAAGAUAUUUGAACCAGAGGCUUUUCAGCUCAAUCACAUCAUCCAGCACAUAAUUAUACAGAUUUUGUAUUUCAGACACCAAUGUCACCUUAGGGUUGAAAUCAUUCUAGAUGAAUCGGUGUAAGUAUAAAUAAGAUAGUUCCCCACACCCCAGUUACUUUCCUACUUUAAAAAUAGAAAGGAAAAUGAGUCGUCCUGAGUUUAGGGAUGAGUUAUUUGUGUGUGGUAUUUGUGAUGGAAAAUUCUUUCUAAAAUAAACACAGUAAUAAUUAAUGGUCUUCUUUUUUCCUCUCAUAUUUUAAGGCGACAGCCUGCUUCUAGUGCCAGAGUACUAGACUAGAUAUAUCCUGGUCUCUUUUAGUACUUGACUAAUACAUACAGCACUAUCUAUUAGAGUCAUUAGUUGUAUCAAGCAAAAUAUUUUUCUGUAGUUUUUCUAUUAAAUUUCUUUAAAGCCACAUGUAGAAUGUUACCUCCCAUGCUGUACUUUAGUUCCAGCGACUCUAAUAUGGAUGAUACCCUGAUGGGCUUUUGAAAUCCUGAAAAACAUGAAUGUGACAGGGAGCCUAGACGGGACUUUAAAAAAUACUACAAAUCAUUUAACUACUAUGACAAAAUUUUUAUAAAUGCUGAAUAAAGGUGAAAAUUAAUAAAUGUAUCAGCCUCUAUUAAUUUAGUUCCUUCUCUUCAUUACAGAAAGACACUAUUGAUCCAAAAUUUAUUAGCAAUGUUCUGCUAGAGCCAGCGGAGGGCAGACUUGAACUGGAAACUCUUUUUGCUACUGUAGUUACUUGAAGUUAAAAUACCAGAUAUAUCAUGUCUUGAGCUCAAAGUCUCAUCACUUCUCUACUAUUCUAAUUACACUUGUGCUGGAUAAAAGCCUCUUUGCAAUUGCUGUUUGACAAAAUGAGUGUUUUGCAAAUGUUUAAAUAAAGAUGCUAAUAUGAAAGUGAAUAAGUCAGUGUGUUAGCAGCUGUGUGUUACUCAUCAGGGAUAAUCCACACUGCUUAAUCCUUAACCAUGUAUAUCUUGAAAUGUUUGUUAAAAGCUAGUGAAUAUAAUUAUCUCCAUUUUACAAAUGAAGAAACUGAGGAAUAGAGUGGUAACCUUGCAGAUUACCCAUCUGGGUGACCUACAGAAACAAGAAUGAAGUCCAGUUUUUUGAGAUCUAAUCCAGUGCUUUGCAACAUAAACUAUUUUAACUCUUGCAAACAUUAUGGAAAUUUUUGCUAGCAGCCCAAAUUGUGGAUCUUUCACUGAGGAGCUUACACUGAUGAAAUAGCAGGCAACCUGACAGUGAGGUUGUAGAUCUUAAGAAGAAUAUUCUUCCCAAGAAGAUGGGUGGCAGUCAGAUCAAAGGCCUAAAGAUCCACUUUAAAGUAGCAUUUUAUUAUUAAAACAAGUACUUCACAUUUUUAGGCAUAUUUUUUAUUCAUUAGGUUAGGUUGGAGUCUUUCUGAAAGCCUUUAUGAUAGCCUGUGUCUGACUCUUGUUGUGUAUAAUGUGUUGUGGCUUCACACAUUUUUAAGUGCUGUGUGAAGGUCUGUAAGAAUAUAUUAUAAAACAGGCCACUUGGAGCUUCUUGGUCAUUUCUCCUUGUACCUUGUGCAACUGUACCUCGUGCAAUUGUACCUCACAAAGAGUUGUCACCUCCAAAUUGUCAUCACUUUCCAUAACUCACAGAGGCCUGAAAAUGCAAUUAUCUCAAAAGGGAAAAGAUUCAUUUACUCUUCUGCAGAACAUAAACUCUCCUUGAAAUAACCACUAAUUGAAGGCAUUUGUACAAAGGCUCAUUUUAUAGUAAACCACUGGAUGCCUCAGGUCAAGAAGCAGCAAGAAAGAUAACAAUUCAAUUAAUGAAAACUGCAGCUUUGAGAAAUGUGGUUUCCAGUCUCAAAGUUAUUUUAUUUAUCCCUAAUUAUACAUUGCUGAAAACUGUUAACCAUUAUUAGGGGCAGAUAAGUCUGAGGUUUGGGGAUAUGGCUGGUUUUGCCUGUUGUAAGCUUCACAGGUUUACACAUCCACCUCCAUAACAAUCUUUUCUUUCACUAAUCCUAGUUGGUGUGCAUUUUUUUUGUACCCAACUUUCCCUUUUAUUUGUAAAUAUGUGUGAAAUGUUCAAAACAUUAGUGAUUUAAGAGCAGUUAAGGUAUUACUUCCUCAGAAACACAUCAUUGUUACAUACAGUUGUGUUUGUUGUGCUGAGCAGGCCCGGCUGAGUUACAGAUAAGGCAAAAUAACUGUAUGAGAGCAGGUUGGCCAAAGGCUUGUCCCUGUAUUUCUUUACAUGGAAAAUAAAGGAUAGAUGUAUGUACUGUCUGAAUAGAGAGCAUGAUGAUGUUGUGUGCCUGUGCCAAAAUUAAUACAAUAGUAUUUUAUUGGAAAAAUAAACUUAGUUUUGGAUUUAAAAAAUUGUAAUAUGCCAUGUAUAAAAUACAUAUUUGAUCAAGAUCAGUUCUGCUAAUGUUCCUUCAGAGGUGAGGGUUUAUAAUGACUAGGAAAAGAUACUUCUACAUCUAUGGAAGUUUAAGCCUGCUGCUGUCAAGUGGCCAGGACCCUUAAGUGUGUGUUGAAGUGUCCUACUCUUAGUAAAUCAGAAAUGUUUAUACUUGCUGUCUCAAGUAGUAGAAAGAACACUAGCAACUUCUUCCAUGUUUAGAAUUCUGUGGAGUCUGCUACCUGUGAGCAGACUCCACUUAAAUAAAGUCUCUGGAACUACUAAUUGCUAACCUCAUUCUUGACAUAGUUCAGCCUCCAACAGCCUGCUGCAACUUCUGUUACACCUUCUGGGAGUCUAUCUAUAGCAAUUGCUUUCUCUGCCCAGUUGGCUCCAAGCCAGA